rnacentral:rRNA from 1 species
UACGGAGGGAGCUAGCGUUGUUCGGAAUUACUGGGCGUAAAGCGCACGUAGGCGGCUUUGUAAGUUAGAGGUGAAAGCCCGGGGCUCAACCCCGGAAUUGCCUUUAAGACUGCAUCGCUUGAAUCCAGGAGAGGUGAGUGGAAUUCCGAGUGUAGAGGUGAAAUUCGUAGAUAUUCGGAAGAACACCCGUGGCGAAGGCGGCUCUCUGGGACGGUACUGACGCUGAGACGCGAAAGCGUGGGGAGCGAACAGG